GAGUUUGAUCAUGGUUCAGGACGAACGCGGGCGGCGUGCCUAAUACAUGCAAGUCGAACGAGGCUUUUUGAUUGAUGCUUGCAUCAGCUGAAAAGCCGAGUGGCGAACGGGUGAGUAACACGUGGGUAACCUGCCUUGAAGCGGGGGAUAACAUUUGGAAACAGAUGCUAAUACCGCAUAACCACAAAAACCUCCUGGUUUUUGUGUCAAAGAUGGUUUUGCUAUCACUUCAAGAUGGACCCGCGGCGUAUUAGCUAGUUGGUGAGGUAACGGCUCACCAAGGCAAUGAUACGUAGCCGAACUGAGAGGUUGAUCGGCCACAUUGGGACUGAGACACGGCCCAAACUCCUACGGGAGGCAGCAGUAGGGAAUCUUCCACAAUGGACGCAAGUCUGAUGGAGCAACGCCGCGUGAGUGAAGAAGGUCUUCGGAUCGUAAAACUCUGUUGUCAGAGAAGAACGUGCGUGAGAGUAACUGUUCAUGCAGUGACGGUAUCUGACCAGAAAGUCACGGCUAACUACGUGCCAGCAGCCGCGGUAAUACGUAGGUGGCAAGCGUUGUCCGGAUU
rnacentral:rRNA from 1 species